AAAAGGUCCCCUAGGUAAAAAAACAGAGCUUUUUCUGCUGUCUGCGCAGGUGUAAUCGGUUACACAGUCCCAAAAUGGCCAAAAAACCAGUUAUUGGUCUGGGUAAUCGAUUACCCUGAUUAGGGUAACCGGUUACCCAAUUUUAAUUUUUAAUUUUUAAUUUUUUAAUUUUUUUUUUGAAAUAAUGAAUGUAUGCAUGUGUAGUAGGGUCAUGGAUCAGAUGAAAA
rnacentral:lncRNA from 1 species